UAUUUAUGAAGGUGAUACUUCUACCCCAGGUUUGUAUUCAUCUUAUUUUGCUUUACAUCACACCAUUGAACGUAUGCAUUGGUCUGCAAGCUUGAAACAUUUUAGCAUUGACCAAAUAUCAGCCAGUUAAUCGCUACUCGGUGGGUCAGCGAAUAGCUGAUUAACUGAUUUGUCGGCCAAUAACUGAUUUAUCGGCCGAUUAACUGGAAAAUUCGCCUAUUUAUCCAUAUUCACCACCCUACCGAUAUGGUACUAGUUACCGAUAUCCUGAACAUUGCAUUUUAGUGACAAAAACCAAUCCUGAUUUGUUUUGGUUUGAUCUGCUACAAAAGAAAGCUUUAUCCUCUUGUUUUAAAAUAUAUAUGUCCUCCUUUCAUAUUCGACAAUUAGCUAUCUUUUCAGUUUAUUCUCUGCUUAGUUCUUAUUUGUUAGUGAGUAAGUGCUAUCUAUUGUAAUGCUUUGUUCUCAAGAACUCGACAGUUGUCUGCUGCAUGUUGAUACUUAACUUUAUUUCAUUGUUACCGUUACACCGCAACGAGGUGAAGCACCAGCUCCUGGGAUAUAGAAUUAUGUACCUUGAACUCAUUAAUCGAAUAACUUGUCACUUUGCACCUCGUUGGCUAGUGUGUGGCUCGUUCCUAGUAGCCUCUGUUGCACAGAAUAUGCAGGGGUCUAUUUUAGCUUAGAGGUUAUUGAUUAUGCUGGUCAAUACAUUUUUAGAUAUUGCUCUCAUGUCCAACAGUUAUUAAUCAUGCAAUAUGUCAUCAAUUUUAAAAAAUAAAUUAAAAUUGUAACCACAAUGGAUCUAAUUCACCUUGUAUAAAACCUAAUUUGAGUUGGUUUAUACAAGAAUUGUGUUGACUGCAAAAAUAUUGUACCAUGUUUAUGUGUUUACCAUCCUACUGUUUCCUGUAUACUCAAGGAUGAUUUUGUACCCUUCAUUGCAGUAGAAGAGACCGUGAAGCCAAAGGUUACCAAGAAGGCACCUCCUAGUGCCUCCAAGUCCAACAAGCGGAAGAAAACCAAGGACCUCUCCCAAUCAGAAGAAGAGGACGAUGACGAGGCUGAGGAUGAGAGUGAAGAUGAUGAGGAUGGUGAUGCGAGGGGCGCAAAGGGCAAGCCUGGCCGCAAACCAUCGGGUAGGGGCACAAGCAGGGGAGUUAUCGUGUUAUGUAAACCUGGGAGAUGUAUUAUGUGAUGUUAUAUGAUGGAUGAUUUUAAUUUCAUUUGGAGUUUUCUUGAUUUGAAUAUGAAAUAGUGUUGAAUUUGAUAUUUGGACAAAUAAUUGGGUUGAAA
rnacentral:lncRNA from 1 species